GUCUACAGCCACACCACCCUGAAUGCGCCUGAUCUGGUCUGAUCUCGGAAGCUAAGCAGGGUCGGGGUCGGGCCUGGAGAGUGCUUGGGUGGGAGACAGUCUGGGAAUACCGGGUGCUGUAGGCG
ensembl:rRNA 5S_rRNA 5S ribosomal RNA